CCCCAGAGCUGGGCCAGGCAUCUGAGAAGGGGCCAGCACGCAGGUGCAGCAUAGGGCACCCAGAAGAGCAGAGGGAGAGCUCAAGGCCUUAUCUAAGAAGGUGGAGCAGAGGCCAAGCAGAGACAGCAGAUCAGAACAUGUGAAAUUCCGGAAGGAACAGCGGCUGAGUGGUUGGAGCUGGAGGUCCAGAGAACAGAGCCUAAGCAGACAGAUGAGAAAACCAAGGCACGGAGAAGAUAAGUCAUAAAGCUGAUAAGCAGCAGAACCAGGCUUUGCCUCCAGGCCGUCUGGACACCAAGUCUGUGCACCUCGCUCCUGCCUUCCCAAAUGCAGGGUUUCAUAAACGGUGUAUGCCAGCCCUGUGUCCCAGCUCCAGUGGCCCAUCUCAGACUGAGCUCCGCCCUGCCCGCAUCCCUCACUCAUGCAUGCUCUGUGA
rnacentral:lncRNA from 1 species